UGUCGUCAGCUCGUGUUGUGAAAUGUUGGGUUAAGUCCCGCAACGAGCGCAACCCUUAUCCUUUGUUGCCAGCGGUCCGGCCGGGAACUCAAAGGAGACUGCCAGUGAUAAACUGGAGGAAGGUGGGGAUGACGUCAAGUCAUCAUGGCCCUUACGACCAGGGCUACACACGUGCUACAAUGGCGCAUACAAAGAGAAGCGACCUCGCGAGAGCAAGCGGACCUCAUAAAGUGCGUCGUAGUCCGGAUUGGAGUCUGCAACUCGACUCCAUGAAGUCGGAAUC
rnacentral:rRNA from 1 species